rnacentral:rRNA from 1 species
UACGGGGGGGGCAAGCGUUGUUCGGAAUUACUGGGCGUAAAGGGCUCGUAGGCGGCCAACUAAGUCAGACGUGAAAUCCCUCAGCUUAACUGGGGAACUGCGUCUGAGACUGGAUGGCUCGAGUGCAGGAGAGGAAUGCGGAAUUCCAGGUGUAGCGGUGAAAUGCGUAGAUAUCUGGAGGAACACCGGUGGCGAAGGCGGCAUUCUGGACUGCAACUGACACUGAGAGACGAAAGCCAGGGGAGCAAACGGG